UUAAUUCUCAUGGAUUCAUUACGAAAUUUGUUGGGUUUAUAAAAAGGGGCAUUUCCCCUUUGAUUGCUUAAUGAAAUCCUCGUAAAAUAGCAUUUCCUCCCCAUUUAUUCGCCUCUCUGAAUUGGGUCUCUGUCGAAGAAUCAUCUUCCUCAGCAGUUUGAUUUCAAAAUCCUCUGUAAAUCGGUGGUUUUUAGUGCGUUUAUAUUCCUUCUGACGGCGGCGGCGGCGGCGGCGGAAGAGACUAAGAGUCUUCUCGGGGCUUGAAAUCACCGGUGAUGGUUCUUCUCGGCUCCAUCUUCUCAAUCUGCAGGGAUGCAGCCGGAGUCGCUGGCCACAUAUUUGCAUUUGGGCUCUUCCUCUCACCCUUAGAUACAUUUCGGCGUGUUAUCAGAAACAAAACAACAGAACAAUUCUCGGGUUUGCCAUACAUAUAUGCUUUGUUAAACUGCCUUAUUUGCUUAUGGUAUGGCACGCCCCUCGUUUCUCCAAGAAACACAAUGGUCAUGACAGUCAACUCAAUCGGCGCUGUCUUUCAGCUCGCCUACAUCAUUCUCUUCAUAACAUAUGCUGAAAAGGGCAAGAAGAUCAAGAUGCUUGGAUUGUUGCUUGCUGUGUUUGCCUUCUUUGUUGUUAUUGUUACUGGGAGCUUACAGAUACCUGAUCUCCUGUUACGUCGGAAUGUCGUCGGGAUCUUGAGUUGUGCAUCGCUCGUAUCGAUGUUCGCUUCUCCAUUGUUUAUUAUUAAUUUGGUGAUUCGAACGAAGAGUGUGGAGUUUAUGCCGUUUUAUCUCUCGCUUUCGACGUUCCUUAUGAGUGUAUCCUUCUUUCUCUAUGGACUGUUCAAUUACGACUUGUUCGUUUAUGCUCCAAAUGGGAUAGGAGCUUUGUUGGGGAUUGUACAAUUGGUGUUGUAUUUCUACUAUAGUCGUGUUGCUAAAGAGGAGGCUCGAGAACCGUUGAUUGUAUCGUAUGCUUAAACACGUACAUUGCGUAUUUACGUGGUGAUUGUGAGGCCAAAACGGACAAUAUCUGCUAACGGUCGGCUCGAAGUUUUACAAAUGGUAUUCAGAGCUAAGCACCGAGUUGUGUUCUAGCAAGGGCGUUGGGCCCCCCAAGAAAAGUAGAUUGUGAGAUCCCACAUUGGUUGGAGAGGAGAACGAAACGUUCAUUAUAAGGGUGUGGAAGCUUCUCCUCAAUAGACGCGUUUUAAAAUCGUGAGGUUGCCGGUGAUACAUAGCGGGCCAAAACAGACUAUAUCCGCGUGGGCUGUUACAAAUGGUAUCAGAGCUAGGCACCGAGGACGCUGGGCCUCCAAGGAGGGUGGAUUGUGAGAUCACACAUUGGUUGGAGAGGAGAACGAAACAUUCCUUAUAAGGGUGUGGAAACUUCUCCUCAAUAGACGCGUUUUAAAGCUGUGAGGUUGACAGCAAUUCGUAGCGGGCCAAAACAAACUAUAUCAGCGUGAGUUGUUACAAAUGAUAUUAGAGCUAGGCAUCGAGCAGUGUGCUAGCGCCCUCAAGGAGGGUGGAUUGUGAGAUCCCACAUUGGUUGGAGGGUAGAACGAAAUAUUCCUUAUAAGGGUGUGGAAACCUCUCAGAGCGAUAUGUAACGGGUCAAAACCCCUAUAUGUGCUGGCGGAACAGCAGAUUUCGGAGGGUUGAUCAUUGAUGUAUCGUUCGACUCAACAUUAGCCAACGAACCGUUGCCUGGCUGCGAUGUGAUUUGUUGUAAAAUUAGCCUCUCAUUCAUUUUUGCAGUCAAUCAGUCAAAAGAUUCUCAAGCGUGACGAACUUGUAAUAUCUUAUAGCCUUAUGAUUGAAAAACUUUGUUCGUUCUAUUACAAGCUGUUUGUAUUUGAAGAAUCAUCCUCGGUAAGCAAGAUCAUGUACUUAUUUCUUACUCGAUCCACUUGCGCAGACCAAAUAUAAAGCUCAUAGUUGCUCGUUCUUAAACGUUUGGCUCA